AAUAGUUUCUUUGGUGGUGACCUACUACAUAGAUAACCGUAGUAAUUCUAGAGCUAAUACAUGCGUAAAUCUCGACUCACGAAGAGACGUAUUUAUUAGAUAAAGACCGACCUCGUUCUGCGGUGAAUCAUAAUAACUUCACGGACCGCAUGGCUUUAUGCCGGCGGUGUUCCAUUCAAAUUUCUGCCCUAUCAACUUUCGACGGUAGGAUAGAAGCCUACCGUGGUGUUCACGGGUGACGGAGAAUUAGGGUUCGAUUCCGGAGAGGGAGCCUGAGAAACGGCUACCACA
rnacentral:rRNA from 1 species